CCCUAUGGGGCGCACCAGGGAUAAGGAUAAAGUGGGAAAAUCUGAAAACUACUGGUACUAUGUUUAAUUUGAAAAGUACAUUGAUUACAUGAGAGGCUGGGUUUACGGCGAAUUUGUGAAGAUGAAAUAAUAAUGUCAGAUGAAAUAUAUUACAGUAUUCUGAAAGAUGCCGGCACGGAAACUGUUAACGAUAUUAUAUCCCUGUACAAAGCAGGCGGAUGGUGGGACAGUGAAUCAAAACCUGAAAUAAUCCCCUCCAUGAUAAAAGGUACUUUCAUUUUUCUUGCGGCACUGGAUGAGAAUGGUAAAAUGAUCGGGAUGGGACGUGCGAUCAGUGACGGAGUAAGCGAUGCAUAUAUUCAGGAUGUUGUAGUGCUCAAUGAUCUGCGCGGGAAAGGAAGUGGCGGGAGGGC
rnacentral:rRNA from 1 species